rnacentral:rRNA from 1 species
UGGGGAAUAUUGGACAAUGGGGGGAACCCUGAUCCAGCCAUGCCGCGUGUGUGAAGAAGGCCUUUUGGUUGUAAAGCACUUUAAGCGAGGAGGAGGCUACCGAGAUUAAUACUCUUGGAUAGUGGACGUUACUCGCAGAAUAAGCACCGGCUAACUCUGUGCCAGCAGCCGCGGUAAUACAGAGGGUGCAAGCGUUAAUCGGAUUUACUGGGCGUAAAGCGCGCGUAGGUGGCCAAUUAAGUCAAAUGUGAAAUCCCCGAGCUUAACUUGGGAAUUGCAUUCGAUACUGGUUGGCUAGAGUAUGGGAGAGGAUGGUAGAAUUCCAGGUGUAGCGGUGAAAUGCGUAGAGAUCUGGAGGAAUACCGAUGGCGAAGGCAGCCAUCUGGCCUAAUACUGACACUGAGGUGCGAAAGCAUGGGGAGCAAA